AGUGCAGACCUUGACCCCUUAUUGGUUGUGACACCUUGGGAAAGUUAUUCAGCCUUAUUAAACCUCGAUUUUCUCAUCUAUAAAAAGAAGGUGACAGUUUCUGCCCUGCUUCUUUUACAGGGCGGUUGAAUGUGAAAGGGUCCUACAAAUGUGGUCAUGCCGUGUUUUAAACUGUCUGUAACCAAUUGCUACGACUUCUGCACAAACCCAUCCCGGAGGUCCGAGUGCCAAAGCUGCCCUUCAUGACUCGCGUCCACAGCCUGCAAAGCCCCUAGUGGAUCCUACCUCUGUGGCUGCUGCGACAGAGCUGCUGCCUUACCUGAGGCUUCCACGAACAACAGACUUUGUGAAGCAGCUUCAAGGACUUGGCAGAGAUGAGAUGAA
rnacentral:lncRNA from 1 species